ensembl:lncRNA
CCUCGAUAACAGAAGUGGACCCGGACAUCUUUUCCAAACUGUUGAAUAAAGGAGAGGAUUUGUUGAAGGUCUCUGUGAAUGAUGGUAAAUAAUUGUAAACUGAUGCACAGACAUGUUAUAUUUCAGAUAUCUGAAAGUGUAAGUUUUAAUGAUCAACAUUACAGUUUUUGUUCAUAGGGGAGAUUUAAGCAAAAAUAUAUAUAUUUAAAGAUUUUGAGUGUGCUCAAAAGGAUCCUACCCUUCAGAUGCCUCCACAAUCGUGCUGAAUGAAAGACAGGGUGAGACCACAAGCAAGAAAAUAGGAAAAGAUGACCGAAGGAGCAAAGAAGCAGACAAAAAUAUGGUCACUGAAGUUUUUCAAACAAAGCCGAGGGGGAGAAAAUCUUUCAAAAAACAAAGUCACUGUCAGAUGGAACCAGACGACAGCUUGUGAAUAUGUUGGUUGCUGAUAUGGUGGAGGUGCAUGGACGGAGGCUGUACGAAUCAACUAUGCCCAAGGAACACUUCUAUGAUCCAGUGUCGGGUUCCGGGUACCUUUCUUGGCGUCUUAAGACUGGGCAACAAAGUUUAUUUGAUCAGUCUAGGUCUUGGUUGGCAGAUGAACAGUGCAAUGCUGGUCCAAAAGCUGUAAGAGGCUCAGCUAUUGCCGUAAAACAACUGACUGAUAAUGAGUGUGAAGAAGCAAUAGCUGUGAUGAAUCAUUCCUCUGAUGAAGCACUAGUUUCAGAGAAAAUGAAGGCCACUUUUGAACACAGGCAGAAACUGGUCCAUGAUCCUGACAAGUCUGUGGAGGUCCUGGACACGUUCCCCAGAUUUCUUGACAUAACUGGCCUUAUUGAGCAGGACUUCCUGAAGCUUUUCAGAGAGGAGACAUCAGGGAAGUUCUUAGCCAGAUGGCCAACGUUUUUCAGACCACACAUCAUCAAAGAUGCCAAAACGCUAGGACCCUGUCUCCAUGUUGAGGCGCUAAUACCGUCAAGGUGAUGGUGGGUCACAAAAAGUCUGCAAAAAUCAUUGGUGAGGUUGGUGUAAGCAUUUCAAUCUUCUUUUCCAGUCUGGAACCUUCUCAGCCCUACCUGCUUUGCGUCAGCACACAAAAAAACUAUAUCCAGAAGUACAAUGUCAUCAUUGACAAAAAGGAUAUUUCAUGCCACAUCAAUUGCAGCAUUUGAUGAGCUAUUUAAAACACAUUUUGUAUUCGCAACAUCAUACAACAAGGCACAGGAUGGGUUUUACACCUUUAUCCAAACAGCAGUUUACAGCAUUGAUGUUGGUAAAACAAAAGAAAAGGCAAGAGUGAGGGAACUAAGGGCCAGGUAUCUUAAUCUGACAAACUAAUACAUUGUUCUUCAGUCAUGUUUACAUGUUUUGUUUGUAAAACCUUACACCAGAAUUCAUAUUCAAUUUGUCGCCAUCUAAAGUUUAAUCCUGGCUUGUAUCCAGGAAGAUUUUUGCGUUUGCAUUGUGCGGGGGCUAAAUGUACAUCAGCCUUUGGAAUUUACUCUGGAUUUAAAAAGCAUUUACUUCAAAUUCAUGGACAAUUCAUGGUUUCUUCCAAUUCUUCUGAGAUGGAUGGCAGUAGAAACGAGAGUGAGGGUCUCUCAGAGUCACCCAGUGGAUGUGAUAGUCGUGCUUCUGUUCCAUAUAAUUUUGUCAAUGAUUUGGCAUUGAGUGAUGAGGAUGAAAGUGGAGAAUUGAUAAAGAAGAGCUCCUCUGGAACUGAGAUUAACUUGAAUAUGUGUGCAUCUGCACAGUUACAAGCUUCAAAAGUAGCUCAUAGCACAGUUCAGGCCAUAGUUGAGUCAAUUGAGGAAUUGGUUGCUGACAUGCAAACCAAAACGAAGGAGCCCGUUUUCAGCAACAUUCCAUCAGAGCUUCAUUAGACAGUUGACAGAGCUUUCUGUUCCAUUGAAAAUCCAUUGACAAAAUGUAAUAUAGAAGCUAAACGGCAAAGAUACUAUGAAGACAAGUGGCAUAUUGUCCAACCUAUAGAAUAUGUUCUAGGUGUUAGAUUUGAUGCAAGAUCUGACAGAACAACUGGGAUAUACAGCCAGAUUCCUGUUACAUAUAAGUUCAUUUAUGUGCCUGUCCUCAAAACUAUUCAGUCAAUGUUCAGAAACAAAGAUAUCUUGGAGGGCCCGUUGCUGUCCCUGUCCAGAAUCCUCCUGGUUGUGUUGCAGAUUGAGAUGAUGCAUGACGAUUUCAGCUGCCACUGUGCUGACACCUCCCCUGUGUUGUCCCUUUCCUUGUUCAUCUGGUCAUGCUUCCGACCUGGUCUAAGUUUAAAUAGACUCUAGACUCAGCCCACAUGCAUUUAUUAAUUAUUACAAUUGUAAUCUUAAUAUGUUCACCUGGCACAGCUAGAAGAGGACUGGUCACCCCUCUGAGCUUUUCCUAGCCACUGAAAUUCAACACUACUGUUGUUUUCUCCUUGGGGUUUAAGGCCAGGUGCUUUAUAAAAGCCUUUUGUGUAACAUCUGCUGAUGUUAAGAGGCCAUUACAGUAGUCAACCCUACUAGAGAUAAAAGCAUGGAUGAGCUUCUCUUGGUUAUUUUUUAGAUGAUAGAAUGCUGUUUUGGUUUUAAGGGCCUGAGAAUCCAG